rnacentral:rRNA from 1 species
UACGUAGGGUGCAAGCGUUAAUCGGAAUUACUGGGCGUAAAGCGUGCGCAGGCGGUUUUGUAAGUCUGACGUGAAAUCCCCGGGCUCAACCUGGGAAUUGCGUUGGAGACUGCAAGGCUUGAAUCUGGCAGAGGGGGGUAGAAUUCCACGUGUAGCAGUGAAAUGCGUAGAGAUGUGGAGGAACACCGAUGGCGAAGGCAGCCCCCUGGGUCAAGAUUGACGCUCAUGCGCGAAAGCGUGGGGAGCAAACAGG